rnacentral:misc_RNA from 1 species
CCGAACGAUGUGCACCUUCUUGUGGUGGACCAUUGCAUUGCAUUGCUGCUCGUGGCAUGCCAUGCCCUUUGGUCUGCUACGUCUUUCAUCAAUCAAACCUGUUCAUUGUAUGGUGGAGUGGCAACCUUUUGUGGGGUAGUUGCUCCUUGAAUGUGGAAAUGUUAAUA